GAUGAACGCUGGCGGCGUGCCUAACACAUGCAAGUCGAACGAACAGACGCGGCUCUUGUUGCUCUCACGUUAGCCGCGCGCGGGAGACUCACACGUGGAUACCCCCCCUAUCUGUCUGGGAUAACUACGAGACAGCGGCGCUAAUACCAGAUGAUAUCUUGCACCGGAGGGUGCGAUAGUGAAUGACGGUUUUGCUGGAGCUUCUAGAUGGUUCCGGGCCGCUUUGGCUGGUAGGUACGGUAACGGCUUACCACGGCAACGCUGCGUAGCCGACCUGAGAGAGGGAUCGGCGACACUGGAACUGGGACACGGUCCAGACUCCUACGGGAGGCAGCAGUAGGCAAUCGUCCGCAACAGGCGAAAGCUUGACGGAGCAACGCCGCGUGGGUGAUGAAGGUCUUCGGAUCGUAAAGCUCUGUUAUUAGGGAAGAACAACUGUGUAAGGAACUAUAGACGUCUUGACGGUACCUGAUCAAAAAGCAACGGCUAACUACGUG
rnacentral:rRNA from 1 species